rnacentral:rRNA from 1 species
CCUACGGGGGGCUGCAGUGGGGAAUUUUGGACAAUGGGCGAAAGCCUGAUCCAGCCAUGCCGCGUGCAGGAUGAAGGCCUUCGGGUUGUAAACUGCUUUUGUACGGAACGAAAAGGUCUUUUCUAAUAAAGAAGGCUCAUGACGGUACCGUAAGAAUAAGCACCGGCUAACUACGUGCCAGCAGCCGCGGUAAUACGUAGGGUGCAAGCGUUAAUCGGAAUUACUGGGCGUAAAGCGUGCGCAGGCGGUUAUAUAAGACAGAUGUGAAAUCCCCGGGCUCAACCUGGGAACUGCAUUAGUGACUGUAUAGCUAGAGUGCGGCAGAGGGGGAUGGAAUUCCGCGUGUAGCAGUGAAAUGCGUAGAUAUGCGGAGGAACACCGAUGGCGAAGGCAAUCCCCUGGGCCUGCACUGACGCUCAUGCACGAAAGCGUGGGGAGCAAACAGGAUUAGAUACCCCAGUAGUC